UAGAGUUUGAUCCUGGCUCAGGACGAACGCUGGCGGCGUGCUUAACACAUGCAAGCCACGGGGGGUAGCAAUACCAACCGGCGAACGGGUGCGUAACACGUGAGCAACCUGCCUUAGUGAGGGGGAUAGCCGGCCCAACGGCCGGGUAAUACCGCAUACGAUCUUGGGGGGGAGUCCCCUGGAGAGGAAACUCGUGGCAACACGGGGCACUGAGAGGGGCUCGCGGCCUAUCAGCUAGUUGGCGAGGUAACGGCUCACCAAGGCGACGACGGGUAGCUGGUCUGAGAGGAUGGCCAGCCACAUUGGGACUGAGAGACGGCCCAGACUCCUACGGGAGGCAGCAGUGGGGAAUCUUGCGCAAUGGCCUAACGGCUGACGCAGCGACGCCGCGUGUGGGAUGAAGCUCUUCGGAGUGUAAACCACUGUUGCCCGGGACGAAUAGCUCGAUUAAUCGAGCCUGACGGUACCGGGUGAGGAAGCACCGGCUAACUCCGUGCCAGCAGCCGCGGUAGCCCAAUCGC
rnacentral:rRNA from 1 species